GCUUUCGUGGUACAAUGGUAGCACACUCGGCCCUUAUUCGAGAAGUCCAGGUUCGAGUCCUGGCGAGGGCA
rnacentral:tRNA from 1 species